GACUGAUUGAUUUCAGGAACAGGAUUUCAGUCCUGUGUUCUGAGGUGGAGCUUUAAACCCUUUGUGACAACCUAUGAGUGCCCCUCAUUGUGCCAGCACCACUGUGUUCUGUGCUGUGGCUGUGUGGGGACAGGGGAUGGGGCUGCCACCUCUGUGCUCUGCUGCACAGAAUAACAAGGCUCACCCUGAUCACUCCGUGCUCCAGCUGUGGUUGUAGUUACAAGAAAGGAAAAAGCAACUCUUUUAUUAUUCCCUGUUGUAGAAAAGGAAGGUUUUAUGAGAGGUGGGAGUAGGACACAGGCCUUGUGAUUCACCAGCCAGACUCGCUGAGGUCCUGUGAAAGGUGAUAUGUCACUAAAGGACACAAGAUAACACAACGCAGACAUGCUGUUGCUCUCAAGGCAGGAAAAAGGGCCAGCUGGGAGGAGCACAGAGAAAUUACCUGAGCAGCCAGGAACUGGAGCAGGAAGAUAAAGCCCUGAUGGAAUUAACUGUGGCCAGUGACAUCAAGAGCAACAUGAAAAGCUUUAAGGUCUCAUCCAACCCAAACCACUCUGUGAUUCUAUGAAUUCACUAUGAACCAUACUAUGAUCCUACAGUCACAAUCAAGGAGUAACAAACAAAUCUCCCAGGCCUGUCUUCUGUUUCCCUGGAUAUUUCUCCCUGAAUAGCCACAGAUGUCAUUCCAGGAGUUCACUCAUGUUUCAUUGAGGAAAGAUGCUGAGUUGAGGAAAUGAUCUUUCAGCUGUUUCAAGGACAAGAGAUCUUCAACACAAGUCUCUGCUCCUCAUGCAGAUGAGCGUGUGUCCUCCCCAGCACAAUCCUUCUUCCCUCCAGGGCUCUCAUCUGUAGCAGCUCUCCACGAGAUGAACACACACAAAUGGACAAGACUCUCCAAGGCACUGGCAGAGAGGUGAAAGGCUGAAGAGGAGCCAACUAUAAAUCAUUCAUUUUCAAAGCGAUGUUUUGAUCAACCUCUGGAACUGAGGAAAUGAUCAUUGCAGCCUUUGGAUGUGGUCUAAAUUAUGCCACAGGC